CCAUUGCAAUGGAGCAUUGGCGUUACGAACCGCGUGGCGUCUCUCUGCGCGAAAUCGUGUACCACGCAGCCUGCACCGCCUGAAACUCGGCUGUACGCAGACUGCACGCAGACUGCACGCAAGCAAGCCGCGCGGUUCAUUUCUCAAGCUAAACGCAUUUAUCGGUGAUGCACCGAGGGAGAAAAUCAGAGCCCUCCGCCUCUCGCCGCCGACGUCGUACAGCCAUUGUCCUCGCGUACGCGUCGCCGUUGUGUUAGAGAAUGCCGUGGCGAGGUGCCGAGCAAGGGGCUGCGUCGGAGGGUUCGGAGUGGAAGGACAUGGAGUAGAGGGUUGCACGCCAUACCUUCGACAUUACGUCAUACGUCGAUUCUCCGGGGAUUCCCACGGCGUCAACCCACGCCGAGAAACUUCGUCGACCGCAUUCAGCAGGAUACCAAGUUUUCUAUUUGCUUUCAUCUGGCAAGAGUUCUCUAUUGGUUACCUACUAGAAGAAGGAAGAGCUCGCGGUGUUUGUGUACGCGAAGAAAGUAGGUUUGUUGGUAGCGUGUAAUAUGUACGAAGAAAAUGAAAGUUACGAGAUCGAUUCGCGUUGAACGGAAAAAUGGAAUCGA